rnacentral:rRNA from 1 species
AAGCGACUAAGCGUACACGGUGGAUGCCCUGGCAGUCAGAGGCGAUGAAGGACGUGCUAAUCUGCGAUAAGCGUCGGUAAGGUGAUAUGAACCGUUAUAACCGGCGAUUUCCGAAUGGGGAAACCCAGUGUGAUUCGUCACACUAUCAUUAACUGAAUCCAUAGGUUAAUGAGGCGAACCGGGGGAACUGAAACAUCUAAGUACCCCGAGGAAAAGAAAUCAACCGAGAUUCCCCCAGUAGCGGCGAGCGAACGGGGAGCAGCCCAGAGCCUGAAUCAGUGUGUGUGUUAGUGGAAGCGUCUGGAAAGGCGUGCGAUACAGGGUGACAGCCCCGUACACAAAAAUGCACAUGCUGUGAGCUCGAUGAGUAGGGCGGGACACGUGGUAUCCUGUCUGAAUAUGGGGGGACCAUCCUCCAAGGCUAAAUACUCCUGACUGACCGAUAGUGAACCAGUACCGUGAGGGAAAGGCGAAAAGAACCCCGGCGAGGGGAGUGAAAAAGAACCUGAAACCGUGUACGUACAAGCAGUGGGAGCACGCUUAGGCGUGUGACUGCGUACCUUUUGUAUAAUGGGUCAGCGACUUAUAUUCUGUAGCAAGGUUAACCGAAUAGGGGAGCCGAAGGGAAACCGAGUCUUAACUGGGCGUUAAGUUGCAGGGUAUAGACCCGAAACCCGGUGAUCUAGCCAUGGGCAGGUUGAAGGUUGGGUAACACUAACUGGAGGACCGAACCGACUAAUGUUGAAAAAUUAGCGGAUGACUUGUGGCUGGGGGUGAAAGGCCAAUCAAACCGGGAGAUAGCUGGUUCUCCCCGAAAGCUAUUUAGGUAGCGCCUCGUGAAUUCAUCUCCGGGGGUAGAGCACUGUUUCGGCAAGGGGGUCAUCCCGACUUACCAACCCGAUGCAAACUGCGAAUACCGGAGAAUGUUAUCACGGGAGACACACGGCGGGUGCUAACGUCCGUCGUGAAGAGGGAAACAACCCAGACCGCCAGCUAAGGUCCCAAAGUCAUGGUUAAGUGGGAAACGAUGUGGGAAGGCCCAGACAGCCAGGAUGUUGGCUUAGAAGCAGCCAUCAUUUAAAGAAAGCGUAAUAGCUCACUGGUCGAGUCGGCCUGCGCGGAAGAUGUAACGGGGCUAAACCAUG